rnacentral:rRNA from 1 species
UGGGGAAUAUUGGACAAUGGGCGCAAGCCUGAUCCAGCCAUGCCGCGUGAGUGAUGAAGGCCUUAGGGUUGUAAAGCUCUUUUACCAGGGACGAUAAUGACGGUACCUGGAGAAUAAGCCCCGGCUAACUUCGUGCCAGCAGCCGCGGUAAUACGAAGGGGGCUAGCGUUGUUCGGAAUCACUGGGCGUAAAGCGCACGUAGGCGGACCUUUAAGUCAGAGGUGAAAGCCCGGGGCUCAACUCCGGAAUUGCCUUUGAUACUGGGGGUCUUGAGUAUGGUAGAGGUUGGUGGAAUUGCGAGUGUAGAGGUGAAAUUCGUAGAUAUUCGCAAGAACACCAGUGGCGAAGGCGGCCAACUGGACCAUAACUGACGCUGAGGUGCGAAAGCGUGGGGAGCAAA